rnacentral:ncRNA from 1 species
UUGAGCUGUAUGCGAUGAAAGUCGCACGUACAGUUCUUGGAGGGGGAAAGAUUCGUGA